GAUGAACGCUGGCGGCGUGCCUAAUACAUGCAAGUCGAGCGAACAGAUGAGGAGCUUGCUCCUCUGACGUUAGCGGCGGACGGGUGAGUAACACGUGGAUAACCUACCUAUAAGACUGGGAUAACUUCGGGAAACCGGAGCUAAUACCGGAUAAUAUAUUGAACCGCAUGGUUCAAUAGUGAAAGACGGUUUUGCUGUCACUUAUAGAUGGAUCCGCGCCGCAUUAGCUAGUUGGUAAGGUAACGGCUUACCAAGGCAACGAUGCGUAGCCGACCUGAGAGGGUGAUCGGCCACACUGGAACUGAGACACGGUCCAGACUCCUACGGGAGGCAGCAGUAGGGAAUCUUCCGCAAUGGGCGAAAGCCUGACGGAGCAACGCCGCGUGAGUGAUGAAGGUCUUCGGAUCGUAAAACUCUGUUAUUAGGGAAAAACAAAUGUGUAAGUAACUAUGCACGUCUUGACGGUACCUAAUCAGAAAGCCACGGCUAACUACGUG
rnacentral:rRNA from 1 species